GGACCCGCACAAGUAGUGGAGCAUGUGGUUUAAUUCGAAGAUACGCGCAGAACCUUACCAACACUUGACAUGUUCGUCGCGACUUUAAGAGAUUAAAGUUUUCGGUUCGGCCGGACGAAACACAGGUGCUGCAUGGCUGUCGUCAGCUCGUGUCGUGAGAUGUUGGGUUAAGUCCCGCAACGAGCGCAACCCUCACUUUUAGUUGCCAUCAUUAAGUUGGGCACUCUGAAAGAACUGCCAGUGAUAAGCUGGAGGAAGGUGGGGAUGACGUCAAGUCCUCAUGGCCCUUACGUGUUGGGCUACACACGUGCUACAAUGGUAACUACAACAGGAAGCAAGACAGCGAUGUUAAGCAAAUCCUAAAAAGUUACCUCAGUUCGGAUUGCACUCUGCAACUCGAGUGCAUGAAGCUGGAAUUACUAGUAAUCGUGGAUC
rnacentral:rRNA from 1 species